AGGUACAUGAUCACAAGGUACAUGAUCACUAGGUACAUGAUCACAAGGUACAUGAUCACAAGGUACACGAUCACAAGGUACAUGAUCACAAGGUACAUGAUCACAAGGUAUAUGAUCACAAGGUACAUGAUCACAAGGUACAUGAUCACAAGGUACAUGAUCACAAGGUACAUGAUCAAUAGGUACAUGAUCACAAGGUACAUGAUCACAAGGUAUAUGAUCACUAGGUACAUGAUCACUAGGUAUAUGAUCACUAGGUACAUGAUCACUAGGUAUAUGAUCACUAGGUACAUGAUCACUAGGUACAUGAUCACUAGGUAUAUGAUCACUAGGUACAUGAUCACUAGGUAUACGAUCACUAGGUACAUGAUCACUAGGUACAUGAUCACUAGGUAUAUGAUCACUAGGUACAUGAUCACUAGGUACAUGAUCACAAGGUACAUAAUCACUAGGUAUAUGAUCACUAGGUACAUGAUCACAAGGUACAUGAUCACUAGGUAUAUGAUCACUAGGUACAUGAUCACAAGGUACAUGAUCACAAGGUACAUGAUCACAAGGCACAUGAUCACAAGGUCAUGAUCACAAGGUACAUGAUCACAAGGUCAUGACCACAAGGUACAUGAUCACUAGGUACAUGAUCACAAGGUACAUGAUCACAAGGUACAUGAUCACAAGGUACACGAUCACAAGGUACAUGAUCACAAGUUACACGAUCACAAGGUACAUGGUCACAAGGUACAUGAUCACAAGGUACAUGAUCACAAGGUACAUGAUCACAAGGUACAUGAUCAUAAGGUACAUGAUCACUAGGUACAUGAUCACAAGGUACAUGAACACAAGGUACAUGAUCACAAGGUCAUGAUCACAAGGUACAUGAUCACAAGGUACAUGAUCAUAAGGUACAUGAUCACAAGGUACAUGAUCAUAAGGUACAUGAACACAAGGUACAUGAUCACAAGGUACAUGAUCACAAGGUACAUGAUCAUAAGGUACAUGAUCACAAGGUACAUGAUCACAAGGUACAUGAUCACAAGGUACAUGAUCACAAGGUACAUGAUCACUAGGUACAUGAUCACAAGGUACAUGAUCACAAGGUACAUGAUCACAAGGUACAUGAUCACAAGGUACAUGAUCACAAGGUACAUGAUCACAAGGUACAUGAUCACAAGGUACAUGAUCACAAGGUACAUGAUCAUAAGGUACAUAAAGCAGAGAGGAAUAGACAGGCUGGACUGAGACAGACUGUUGUUCAGAAGAUGAAAAACAUAAAAUUCAGACACAGCUGCAAACUAAAAACAUACAUAAUUAUGUUAGGAAAUAUUUCUUUAACACCAGAAUUGACAGGAAGUGGAAUGAGCUGGACAGCAAAGUGGUGGAUGUAAACCUGGCAGGUCUAGGAGCCGAGACUCAACCCCUGCAACCACAAUUAGGUGAGUACACACACACACACACACACACACACCACACACCACACACACACACACACACACACACACACACACACACACACACACACACAGUGGUCGGGAAAUGUUAAACAGCUGUUCCCAAUAUUCGUUCAGCCAAAUAUACAGCAGUGGUAUUGUAUUCUGAAAACAGAGAGAAUGGUUCAGGUCUCCCGUAGCUAGAUCGCUAGCGCACUUGGCCCACACACUGAGGUCCAGAGUUCGAAUUCCUGGUAGGUCUGUAAAAACAUUAGGACGUGUUUCCUUAAGACACCUGCUGUUCAUGUUCACCCAUCAGUAAAAUAGGUACCUGGGUGUUAGUGGACUGGUGUGGGCCGCAUCCUGGGACAAAACUAACCUAAUUUGUGGGAAAUGCUCCACAUAACAAGCAGUUUUCUAUAUAGAAGUAUGUCACUGAUGUCAGCUAUGGUCUGUAUACCUUGCACAUGUACUGGUAGAAAUAAAGAUUAUUAUUAUUAAGCGCUAAGAAGAAUUAAAAACUGAUAAUCUCCACAAUAGAAGAAAACUUUAGGUCCCGGGUUUUACACUAUACCAAGAAAUAUGAACACCAUAGUGUAUUAUAAUGUCUCCAGUGAGAAGCACAAUAAAUCUAGACAGAAAGAUGUCAACAUACUCAACUAUUUUUGACAGUAAUUUGAUAUCAACGGCAGCAUUUGUGAAAAAAAAAGUCAGGGUUUAUUUCACAGGUUCAGUAUUGUGUAAGUGUGCACUAUUUAUUAGUUAUUAUAAAUCUUUAGAUGUUAAAGUACUGAUUUAAUUUUGUAACUAAUAGAACAAUAAUAAAUUGUCAGUGUUCAAAAAAAAUAUAUGGUAAAUCUUUA